GUGCUCGCUUCGGCAGUACAUAUACUACAAUUAGAACGAUACAGAGAUUAGGGUGGCCCCUGCGCAAGGAUGACAUGCAAAUUCGUGACGCUUUCCAUGUUUUU